UAAAAGAUAUAGCGGGAACGUCUGAACGUGAUUGGGAAGAUUAAUUGCACGAAGCAUCACGCGCAUCUCCAAAGCGUGGCAAGAUAAACGUGAACAGGACCAGCUUGCAAUCAAUAAGCAUAUAGAAUUGAUUUUGUGAUAUAUCGCUUCCACCGAUGUGAAUGAUUGUUUGUUUUCUAGAGGAUCGUACCUAUUCAAGGUGAUACGACGUGAUUUUAACAAGAAUUUUUCUUCUUCUGAGGCCGUGUUCUGAUCAAAUUCCAGUCAUGUUAAAAUGACACAUUGCACCAAGAGUAACAGAAUAGUUGCGCGGGAUUUUCCCGAUAUUUUUAUUAGAUAUAAUUAUCUUGGCGAACAAGUUAUUCUGCGUCGUGGAGUGUGCAUCAGAUUAAUGAAAACAGCUGGAAAUUGCCAUCAUCUGCGAGAAAAUACGGGAUGCAGAGUCUACUAAGUGCUUUACGAUACAUGUAAUGCAGCUAUGAAUAUGACAAAGAACGUGGUGACUGACGACGGGAUGUCAGAAAAUGACGUCAGUAUCGGAAAUAUCUUCGGUCUGCUGGCGCCAAUUUUAGUUGUCAUUGUGAUGUGUAUUAUUUUAGUUCUGUCAUUUUAUAAAUUUCACAAAAGAUUACACAACAAAAAAGAGCACCAUAUAGACUAUAUAAGGGCAAAUCUUCCAUUAAAACGUCCGAGAAUCUCACCUCCCAAUAUGACUACGUUUAACGCGUUCGAUUGGAAAUCUCUCAACGCUGGAUAUCUGUAUGAAGGUGUUCCACACGAAGACUAUGUUGACUGUGAUACACAAACUGUGAAAAUGGAAGGUUCAAACAAUAGAACUGUGGACUUUACCAUUACAGAAAAGCUUGACCUUAAGUGUUCGAAGGUGAAGAAGUCACUUGGUACUCGGUGCAAAUCUGGUGACAAAUUUGAUAGGUACCAAUUCGAACUCGUCCCCACGAUAUGUCAACCUGAAUCUGAUUAUUUACCCGGGGAUGAAAUAUUUUAUUGACAAAAACAGAAGAAAAAAAUCAAUUUUCAGGCAGUGAAUUAUUCGUUGGAUUACAUAUCUCAGUAGAAAAUAUGUGCAUCCUUUACUUUGAUACAAUAACAUGUAUCUCAAUUUUAUUUUACCUUGUCAUGAAUAUAAUUUUUUAUGGAUAGAACACAUCGACCUUGACCUUGGCGAUAUAGCGUCCUUGGUGAUCACUUUUCUAUUUACGUCACAUAUUGACAUUGGCAUAUCACACCUUUAUUUUUCAGGGUUUUUAAAAAGAAUAAAUCCGAGAGAACUACAA